CGAGCACCGGUUCACGUCCCUACGACGACCCGGCGGCU
rnacentral:ncRNA from 1 species